GCUGGGCAGCACGAUGAGGAGCCGGUUGCCAGCCCGGGUCAGCCGGACACCAAAGCCUCUGGGUGCCGGAGAAGCUGCUGCCAGCGGAGUCCAAAGUCAGCUCCAUAGAAGAUGGAGCCCCCGACUCAGUGGCGUCCUCUGCCUGACUCUGUGUUCACUUCUAUAAUAAUCUCCACUCCCUGGGAGCCUGGGGAGCUGGAGGCCAAGCUGGUUCGAUAAGGACCUGCCAUUUGGACAGGACGGGGACGCUGACAACGAUCCAGAGUCACUGGCUGCGUCCUACAUGCAGGGCCCUAUUCAAAGCCUCCACAGCACUGCUCAGCCCAUCUUCCUCACAGUACUGCUCAGCCCGUCUUCCUAACAGCACUAAGCAGGCAAUGCUGCCACCAUCCCCUUUCCAGACCAGAACCCCAAGACUCAAGAGUGGUGGAAUAAUCAGCUCAGACUCCCAGCUGACAUGUGGUGGCACGUGCUCUGGGGUUCCCGGGGUGCUGUAGGGAGCCGGCGCGCAGCUCUCUCGUCCAGGACACACGAGCAGGAGUGACCUGCGUCCAGAAGGUCCAUCACUAGCCCUGGCCAUGUGCUGAGCACCCAGGCGAUGCCACGUGGAAUCCAGAAAACACUGGAAAUCUGGAUACAGUGACAGACACAUACGGAGGGAAGAAGAUGUGAAGACAGAGAGAAGACCGUCAUCAACAAGCCAUGGAAUGCCAGAGGCCACCAGCAGCUGAGAGAAAGGCCUGCACAGACGCUCCCCACAGCCCUCAGAAGCAGCCAGCCCUGCUGACACCUUGAUCUCAGGCACCAGGAACGGUGAGACAAUACGUUUUUCUUACCCUAAGCCACCCCAUCUGUGGCCCUGUGUUAUGGCAGCCCUAGGAAACGAACACAAUUCCCUAGGCCGUACCCACCCGCUGCCUUGCUUUACACGGCUUUAGAUAUUUGCCACACCCAUGUUUCUUCUGCUUUAUCUAUGAUCAACCUAAAAGUUUUUAAAGCUUCCUCUGGACAUUUAAAGAGAGGUCCUGAGAUCCACUGGGCCUCGGUCACCUGUCCUGUAUGCCUGUCAUCCUGAGGCACUGCACGAGCACCGCACAAUGACAGUCCAAACAGAGACCAGAGCUGGGCAGGCCAAGUCAGCCCAGACCUGCCAGUAAGAAGCUGAGAGUUCCAGAGGCUGGGAAGGGUAGGGAGAAGGUAGGGGCUGGAGAGAUUUGCUAAAGGAUACAAAAUUACAGCCAGGUAGGAAGAGUAAGUUCCAGCACUAUGGUCACCUAGACCACUGUAGGGUGACUGCAGUUAACAAUAAUACACUACACAGUUUCAAACAACAUCCAUAUAUUGGAUGUUCCCAGCACAAAGAAACGAUUAAUGUUUGAUGGAGGCUAACCACCCUGAGCUCAUCACUCUACAUGACACAUGUCGAAACUUCACUAUGUACCCCAUGAAUAUGUACAAUUACUGUCAAUUCAACUAUAUAUGUGUGUGUGUGUGUGUGUGUGUGUGUGUGUGUGUGUGUGUGUGUGUGUGUGUAUUUUAAAAGCUGGAGGGCUAGCUGCCCCCAAAUAUGGUUCAGGAAGCCAGGAAAAAGAGCCCCAUCUUAUGCGCCUACAUACAAAAGGGAAGAAGCUUGUCGGCCGAGUUACCAUCCAAAACCCUUUUGGCUUGGUAGUGUUUGGGGAGGAUGAAAGAAUAAAGCCGCAGAUCUUUUCAUUACUCCUGCAUCUCCUCCUCUCUCUUCUUCAACGCUCGUGCCAACCCCCCAUUCCCACUUUACACCGAGGAAAAGUGGAUUGAGAGGUGGAGGGAUCUGCCUGGGGCCAUGUGGCUGGCAGGUGGCAGAGUAGGGACUUGGGUCCUUGCUCCCCUGCUGCCAAUGCCCGGAGGGUUUCAAAAGCAGCUCAGGUCUGUGGUGCGAGAGGGAAGGCGGCCGCACUGAGUGCUGUCAGAGCAAACGGGCGUCCAUUCUGCUGCUCUCCUGUCAGUGUGGACUCUGUCUCUCUAACUGCGCCAAGGGUUUCCAGUCACUGUGCUCUCAAGAGUGACAGUCAUUAAAUCAGCAUAGCCAGCAUCUCCACA
rnacentral:lncRNA from 1 species